rnacentral:rRNA from 1 species
UGCGUAGGCGGUUGGGUAAGUCUGUCGUGAAAUCUCCGAGCCCAACUCGGAAACUGCGUCGGAUACUAUUCAACUCGAGGAAUGGAGGGGAGACUGGAAUUCUCGGUGUAGCAGUGAAAUGCGUAGAUAUCGAGAGGAACACCAGUGGCGAAGGCGAGUCUCUGGACAUUUCCUGACGCUGAGGACAAGCCAGGGGAGCAAACG